CCUACGGGAGGCAGCAGUGAGGAAUAUUGGUCAAUGGGCUUACGCCUGAACCAGCCAAGUCGCGUGAGGGAAGACUGCCCUAUGGGUUGUAAACCUCUUUUGUCAGGGAGCAACGCCGGCUACGUGUAGCCGGACUGAGAGUACCUGAAGAAAAAGCAUCGGCUAACUCCGUGCCAGCAGCCGCGGUAAUACGGAGGAUGCGAGCGUUAUCCGGAUUUAUUGGGUUUAAAGGGUGCGUAGGCGGACUGGAAAGUCAGCGGUAAAAUCGAGAGGCUCAACCUCUUUCCGCCGUUGAAACUGUCGGUCUUGAGUGAGCGAGAAGUAUGCGGAAUGCGUGGUGUAGCGGUGAAAUGCAUAGAUAUCACGCAGAACUCCGAUUGCGAAGGCAGCAUACCGGCGCCCGACUGACGCUGAGGCACGAAAGCGUGGGUAUCGAACAGGAUUAGAUACCCCAGUAGUC
rnacentral:rRNA from 1 species